GAUGAACGCUGGCGGCGUGCCUAAUACAUGCAAGUCGAGCGAACAGACGAGGCUCUCGCCUCUCUUACGUUAGCGGCGGACGGGUGAGUAAUACGUGGAUAACUGACCUAUAAGACUGGGAUAACUUCGGGAAACCGGAGCCAAUACCGGACAAGAUAUUGAACGGCAUGGUUCAAUAGUGAAAGACGGAUUUGCUGACACUAGUAGAGGGAUCCGGGUCGGAUUAGCUAGUUGGUAGGGUAACGGCUUACCAAGGCUACGAUGCGUAGCUGAUCUGAGAGGAUGAUCAGUCACACUGGAACUGAGACACGGUCCAGACUCCUACGGGAGGCAGCAGUAGGGAAUCUUGCACAAUGGGCGAAAGCCUGACGGAGCAACGCCGCGUGAGUGAAGAAGGUCUUCGGAUCGUAAAGCUCUGUUAUUUGGGAAGAACAGAUGUAUGAGUAACUAUGCACGUCUUGACGGUACCUAAACAAAAAGCCACGGCUAACUACGUG
rnacentral:rRNA from 1 species